UACAGAGGUCCCGAGCGUUGUUCGGAUUUAUUGGGCGUAAAGGGUGCGUAGGCGGCGGAGUAAGUUGGGUGUGAAAUCCCGGGGCUCAACCUCGGAAUGGCAUUCAAUACUGCUUCGCUAGAGUACUGGAGAGGAGGCUGGAAUUUACGGUGUAGCAGUGAAAUGCGUAGAUAUCGUAAGGAAGGCCGGUGGCGAAAGCGAGCCUCUGGACAGUUACUGACGCUGAUGCACGAAGGCCAGGGGAGCAAACGGG
rnacentral:rRNA from 1 species